GGCAGCUUACACAUGCAAGUCGAACGAUGAUUACCAGCUUGCUGGUAUGAUUAGUGGCGAACGGGUGAGUAAUGCUUAGGAAUCUGCCUGGUAGUGGGGGACAACAUUCCGAAAGGAAUGCUAAUACCGCAUACGACCUACGGGUGAAAGGGGGCGCAAGCUCUCGCUAUCAGAUGAGCCUAAGUCGGAUUAGCUAGUUGGUGGGGUAAAGGCCUACCAAGGCGACGAUCUGUAGCUGGUCUUAGAGGAUGAUCAGCCACACUGGGACUGAGACACGGCCCAAGCUCCUACGGGAGGCAGCAGUGGGGAAUAUUGGACAAUGGGCGAAAGCCUGAUCCAGCCAUGCCGCGUGUGUGAAGAAGGCCUUUUGGUUGUAAAGCACUUUAAGUGGGGAGGAAAAGCUAAUAAUUAAUGCCUAUUAGCCCUGACGUUACCCACAGAAUAAGCACCGGCUAACUCUGUGCCAGCAGCCGCGGUAAU
rnacentral:rRNA from 1 species